rnacentral:rRNA from 1 species
CCGGCGUAAAAUGUGGUUAACAUAUUAUCACACUAAAGCUAAACAUCUUCAAAGCUGUUAUACCCACACGAAGACAGGAAAACCUUCUACGAAAGUGGCUUUAAAUAAUGCUAACCCACGAAAACUAGGAAA